AGGACGAACGCUGGCGGCGUGCUUAACACAUGCAAGUCGAGCGGAAAGGCCCUUCGGGGUACUCGAGCGGCGAACGGGUGAGUAACACGUGAGCAACCUGCCCUUAGCUCCGGGAUAGCUCCGGGAAACCGGAAUUAAAUACCGGAUACGACCACCUUAGACAUCUUUUGUGGUGGAAAGAAUUUCGGCUAGGGAUGAGCUCGCGGCCUAUCAGCUUGUUGGUGGGGUAACGGCCUACCAAGGCGACGACGGGUAG
rnacentral:rRNA from 1 species